AGGAACAAGCGUUAAUCGGAAUUACUGGGCGUAAAGCGUGCGUAGGUGGUUUGUUAAGUCAGAUGUGAAAGCCCCGGGCUCAACCUGGGAACUGCAUUUGAAACUGGUAAACUAGAGUAUAGGAGAGGAAAGUGGAAUUUCUGGUGUAGCGGUGAAAUGCGUAGAUAUUAGAAGGAACAUCAAUGGCGAAGGCAGCUUUCUGGACUAAUACUGACACUGAGGUACGAAAGCGUGGGUAGCAAACAGGAUUAGAUACCCUGGUAGUCCACGCCGUAAACGAUGAUAACUAGUCGUUGAGGGGGAUUACCCUUUAGUGGCGAAGCUAACGCGUUAAGUUAUCCGCCUGGGGAGUACGGCCGCAAGGUUAAAACUCAAAGGAAUUGACGGGGACCCGCACAAGCGGUGGAGCAUGUGGUUU
rnacentral:rRNA from 1 species